UGAGGAUCUCUGCUGUAACGUGACACUUUGUAAGGCUCCCAUAGGCUCUCAGAAGGCGCCAGAACGUUGAAUGAUGACUCUGCUGUCCCAGGCUGAAAAACGGUAUUGCAUUUGGUAAGUGGUCGAUCUGAGAACAAUGAGACGGGGGCGCGCAUGCAAAAGAUGACUCCAUUUUCAACUUUGAGUCUUUGAACGAAAACAUGGUUUCCCGGUCGGAAUAGUAUCGCUAUUUUACGAGAAAAAUCGCAUAAAAAUUUAUUUUAAACAGAGUUUGACAUGCUUCGAAGUACGGUAAUGGAAUAUUUUGAAAAUUUUUGUCACGAUACGCGUCCGCGCGUCACCAUUCGGAUAGUGUCUUGAACGCAAGAACAAAACAGAGGAUAUUUGAACAUAACUAUGGAUUAUUUUGAACCAAAACAACAUUUGUGGAUGAAGUAGAAGUCCUGGGAGUGCAUUCUGACGAAGAACAGCAAAGGUGACAUAAACUGAGACAACCACCUGACCAAGUCCUAAAGCAAUGGGACUCGAUUAUUACCAAUCCCACAAGGUAUGACUCCAACCACCCAGAAAAGGCUACGCUCCUUGAUGUUGUCCUCACAAAUAAUCCUGAAAGGUCGCAGUUGUAAAUGAGAGCUUGUUAACAAAUGGCCUACCUGGUUAAAUAAAGGAAUGAUCAAGCAGGGAGGCAAAGGUGGUCCAAACAUAGGGGUCCAUCAUCCAACUCAGCUGACUCCGUGGCUGUGAAGAUGAGUCAUGAUGACUGCUCAUGGAAAGGUGAGAUUCAUUAUACUCAACCCAGUAGCAGUAAAAAAUAAAAACGAUAUGACAUUUAAGCCUAUCCUAUUUUACAUGGUUGAUGAUUAUUUUAAUUGACAUGCUAAAUAAUGUGUCAGAGGCACUCAAAUCUGCUUCCAUACGUGGCCACUAUGUCCCAAG
rnacentral:lncRNA from 1 species